rnacentral:rRNA from 1 species
UAAAGAAUUUCGGUUAUCGAUGGGGAUGCGUUCCAUUAGUUAGUUGGCGGGGUAACGGCCCACCAAGACGACGAUGGAUAGGGGUUCUGAGAGGAAGGUCCCCCACAUUGGAACUGAGACACGGUCCAAACUCCUACGGGAGGCAGCAGUGAGGAAUAUUGGUCAAUGGACGAGAGUCUGAACCAGCCAAGUAGCGUGAAGGAUGACUGCCCUAUGGGUUGUAAACCUCUUUUAUAUGGGAAUAAAACAGGGUAUGCAUACCCUCUUGUAUGUACCAUAUGAAUAAGGAUCGGCUAACUCCGUGCCAGCAGCCGCGGUAAUACGGAGGAUCCGAGCGUUAUCCGGAUUUAUUGGGUUUAAAGGGAGCGUAGGUGGAUUGUUAAGUCAGUUGUGAAAGUUUGCGGCUCAACCGUAAAAUUGCAGUUGAAACUGGCAGUCUUGAGUACAGUAGAGGUGGGCGGAAUUCGUGGUGUAGCGGUGAAAUGCUUAGAUAUCACGAAGAACUCCGAUUGCGAAGGCAGCUCACUGGACUGCAACUGACACUGAUGCUCGAAAGUGUGGGUAUCAAACAGGAUUAGAUACCCUGGUAGUCCACACAGUAAACGAUGAAUACUCGCUGUUUGCGAUAUACGGUAA